GCCCGCAUAGCUCAGCUGGUAGAGCAAUGCUUUCGUAAAGCAUAGGUCGUUGGUUCGAAUCCGACUGCGGGCU
rnacentral:tRNA from 1 species